UUCCUCUUUUGGAUAGGAUUCGGAACAGAAGGUGAUGUGAUCGAUUUUUUCCUUGUUUACGACUCAGCUGAGUUCUGCACAUUUAGUUUGAUAUGUCUAAUGUGGGCCAAUAGGUUUAUAAUGUCGAGCAUUGUUUGUAAUGUCAUUAUUGAUGUGUAUGCUCUUUGAUUGUUGUGUUGUUGGAACUCUCCUUUCCCACAUCUGUGGUGCAGCACGAGGAGAUAAAUCGCCGAGAUUUUUCAUUUGAACAACUGCUCAGCUAGUAUAGAUGAACCAUACAAAAAAAUUAACGUUUUUUCUCAUAAAAAACUGAAGAGAACAGGCUAGGUGCGAAUCAAAACCGCUCUGGUCAUAUCAGUAGUAUUGACUGUCAGUAGCUUACUGACAUAUCUUCCUCAAGCUUAUGUUUCUCCGUAUGUCUCCAAAUCUCUUGGCGAUUUUGGUCGCAAUAAACUAUUACCUCGGAUCCAUAAUCUUGCUUUAACCCUUAAGCGAACGCGCAACGACAUUCCAUACCCUUGCAGCACUGGUUUUAUCAAGGAAGGUCGCAUAUAGCGCGCCCUGCUUUUCCAUUGCGGCCUGUAUUUUGCAUUUCUCAUUUAUCAUGUCUGUUACAAAAUAGCGCAUGUUUCGUAUUUUUCCCAUCAAGAGGUCACUCGUCAAUCACCUCUCAAUCCGGCAAGACUCUGUACAAUGCAAGUGCGGUCGUCACAGCGUGAAGUUAAUUAAUUUCUCGAAUAACACGGUUAACGAGGACACGAUUAACGAGGGACUUCAACGCUCGCUCUCUUCAGCGAGAAGUGAUUCGAUGUCAUUGCUUGGAGAUCCUGCAAUAAGAGCGUUCUAGCUGUGAACAAUAGCCGAGAGGAAAUUCGCAACUAAUCUCGCGCACUGGCUUCCAACCGCCACCGCCGCCGCUUGCAUUAGAAUCGUUGAGCCUUACCUGGGAGCAUUGAUGAUCGACCGGCCCAUUGCCCGUUGCUGGCGCUUCUCGACGGCAAGGCGCAGAUAAUCCUGGUCGCCAAGGAGG